GGAGUGGGAGAGGAGGGUGCGAGAGAAAGAGAGAUGACAGGGGGGAUCGUCGAGAGGGUCAGACAAUGGCGAACGGAAGCGUUGAAAUGAUGUAAGGGGUCAGAUGCGGUCGAGCUGUCCGUCAUCCAUCCGUUCGUUUAUCAAGGACAUAACUGCGGCGAGGAAUGCUGGAUUACGUUUCCUGCAUCCUUCCCCCUCCCCGCUUCCCCAUCGCCUGCGGCGUGGCCCUCGCUGCAUCUUGUCCUCUCAGUGAACCCACUUGUCGGUUAGAGAACACAGAGUCUCACAGCAGACGGGUGGAGCUCCGGCAACAUGUACGGGUUACAAAGACAGAAUAAAAAAAAAAAAAGGAGAGAAAAACAUAGAGGUUUGAUUGGAAAUGAUUUUUGCACUGUGGCAACAUGACACCGCCAUCUUUCCUGGCCGAGGUUAAUGCUGCUACUUUGUACAAUUAUGUCAGUUUCAAGACGAUCUGGCGCGCGAUCAGGAGAGUUUCAACUGUCAUCGACCAGUCUCAGAGUGACUUCAGAUGCUACCUGCACCAGUCAAAAAUCAUUGUCAUGAAUAAAAGCAGAUCGGGUUUAAUUACCCGACAGCUGCCAUAAAAUGUGAUGACUAGAUGAUGCAGACGGAAGAACAGUUGCACUCAGCAAAGAGACCCGGCGGCGGGGUAUCACCGUCUCUCACCCCAAAGGUGUCACAGAAGUCACCACCCGUAAGAGCAGGAAGAACGAGGUCACUUUCCAUAUCAUCCAUAUCAUCGUGGACUGCGAGGGUCGAGGAUUCCAAGGGAGGGGGACGAAGGAUGCUAUUUACAUCACGGCUGCAAAACCUUCUCUCGAAAGACCGAGGGCGACACCAACUGCCAAAAGUCGGCAAAAGUCUUGUUCAGUCACAGAGUUCAUCUCAGGGUCGUGUGUAGUAACCACACUAGUCACCUAGUUCUAGCUGCUCCACAAAACAUGUAGAUACAUGCCAAAAGUUCUAGUGAGUCUUACUUUUUGUCUUGGGUGUAGAGAUUUACUUUUCCUUCUAACUCGAUGAGAUGCACCUUUGCGAACAACUGUUACAUCAUCGGUGGACACAUGGAGACCUUCAAGACUUAUGUUUCAUUUUACUGGAAGGCUGAGGGACUAUUUGCUGUGUCUAGACCUGAACCUCUCUCACACCUUUUCAGCAGAGUGAACGACAGGGUUAGAAGUGUAGAAAGAAAACACAGUAUAGGUGUAUUGAGAGUCAAGUAUUGAACUUUUACUUUAGGUUUCACCAUCAACACUGUCAAGCAGCCAAAUGUAAAAUAAAGGUUAUUUUCAGAUUAAAAA